UUUCCGUAGGUGAACCUGCGGAAGGAUCAUUACCGAGUGAGGGCCCUCUGGGUCCAACCUCCCGCCCGGGUUUAUCGUCCCUGGUUGCUUCGGCGGUCCCGCCUCACGGCCGCCGGGGGGCACCCGCCCCCGGGCCCGCGCCCGCCGAAGCCACCAUUGAACGCUGUCUGAAGAUUGCAGUCUGAGCAGCUUAGCUAAAUCAGUUAAAACUUUCAACAACGGAUCUCUUGGUUCCG
rnacentral:misc_RNA from 1 species